GAGCCCAGAGUUUUAAGAAUAAUAAAUUCUUACAACUCCAGACUCCAGAGAGAUUUUUCUCUAGACCAUUGCUGCCCAGCUCAUAGGAUCUCUGUGCCACAUUUACAUAAAGGCAUACUGCCAAAGAUGCAGCCCCCACCCCCUGAAGGGGGGGUGGGGUUGUGGACUUCUUAUCAUGCCCUCAUUAUACCCUUUAUCUUGUGAGGAAAGUAAAAUAAUGGGCCUUAAGCAAGGUUAACAAUCCAGUGAGUGGUGAAGAAUAGAUUUGAGCACAGGUUCAUAUUAGACUUAUUUUCUUCCCACAAUACCAAGCUGGCAGCAUUAGGAAUGAAAUCGAUAUGUUGGCAUGAAUAUUUGGCAGGGAAAAUCAGGAAAGGCGUUAUAGACAGGGUGGGCCAGAUGCUUGAUUUAAAGCUGGAAAGAAGUGCUUUGUGAUAUGGAGAGAAAGAUAAACACAUUUCUGCCUCUGUAAAAAUGACAAGUUCAAAUCCCAGCACUCUUGGGGCUCUUGUGAGCCUUAGAUAAGACGCAUUGAGGAGACAGCCUUUGGGGAUCUAUCAUGAAAGUCCCUCAAGUGCGGAAUAACUUACCCAGAAUGUCUGGUUCAUAACAAACCCUUUAACAAGGUUUGUGAGUGAACAUGAGAUCUUAAUGCAGGUGCUCCUGGAGGCAUCCCUGCUGCUAAGACAAAUCAGGGCUGGCACACAUCAGUGUGGAGUCUCUGGGUAUUAGGCCCAGUACCAGCACACCAUGGUCAUCUUGACCGACCCUGAACACAUCCCCUCAGAGUGUUGUUCCUUCAUCUGUCUGUAAUUUAAAAAACAGCCAUCUGAAAACACAAACAUCCCAAGCUUGCCAUCUCAGCCAGUAAGUCAAGGUCUCUGUUAACAAUGCCUUCCUUUCUAACAGUAAAGCACACAGGGUUGCAUCUCCACCUAAGAGAAUCCUGGGGUGACACAGGUUACCAAGGGCUCUGUUUUCCAGUUUGAAGGAUGGAAUGACAGUAGGUGGUAGGUGGGCUGGGCCAGAACAAGAGUGGGUGACCGGGCUGAGGGAAGACGCAGCCAGGAAAGUGCUUGCUGAAUGAUUGUGAAUGCCUGGUCGUGGCUGUAUAGGCCUGUAACCCAAGGGCCGUGUAGGCAAACACAGGAGCAUCUCUGGUACUUGCUAACCAGCCGGGCUAGCCAAAGCAAAUGAGCUCCAGGGUCCGUGAAAACACUUGUGUUUCCAAACACAAGGUGGGCAGCCACUGAGGAGGACACCCACCCGGUGCUGGCCCUGGCCUCUGCCUCUAUUCGUAUGCAUUCAUUUGGACAUGCACCGCCAUCCCAUGUACCCGCACACACACAAACAUGCUUAAGCAUAUGCACACAGGAGUAGGUCAGAGGGCGCAGAAACUAGAGCCUCUAAUGAAGUUGCUGAGUAAGUGAAUGGUAGAUUUCUUUUCUUUUUUUUUUUUCUUCUUCUGCUUUCAAACCCUCUUUUCAUUCUGCCUUCAGAUGACCCUAUUGGCUAAUUCGUUUUCUCCCUGAAGACUGCUGAAUAUUUAAAGCAGGGAUUUUAGAUGUGCCCAGUGAUUUCACAUCGGGGUUAUAUCCGGCUUAAUUUCCUCUUACAAGACCUCUUCUGAUACUCUCUCUCCUCCUGUGUUCCCAGGUGCCCCACAAGCCCAGCUGCUGAACUCGGGUCCCCCCUCCCCGUAGUUGACCCAUGACAAUUCUUCCUAACCCCUUCACCAAGACCCUUUAAUUUGUCCCAUUGACGGAGAAAUUUGAAGAUAAAUCUACAGGGAGAUGAACGGCUGCAGCUGCCGCCCUUAGCAACGGGCCGGCUGAGAGGCAGGCUGCAGUUCACCAUAGUGGCCACUAGAUGGCAUUUCCCUAGAAAAACUCGCUGUCGCAGCACAUCUGGGUCCUUCCAGAAGAAGCACCUCAAAGGUCACAGAGUCAAUGUGCAAAAAUAUCUGGGGUCCUCUCCAAGGCGACAGAAGUCAUAUGCAAAGAUCAGAAAGUAUCAGGAGUGGAAGAAAUACAUAUAAACGAGGACCCAGAGACGCAGGGGAACCCCACAAGGCAUCUGGGAGAAGGAAGGCAACUGCUUUAUCUUAUCUCAAACCGAGGACAGUGUGAGGAAAAAAAAUGCCUGCCACCACUUACGCCACAAACAGGGCAGGUGUCUAAAGCCCCAGCCAGCAACGUCGAUUGGACAGCCUCUCCUUGGAGCCCUCUGUAAUAGAAAACAGUCCACUGAGAACACACAGUGCUCUGGUAGACUUUACUUCUGAGAAUUUCCAUUCCGACAAAAGCUGACCAGGAAAGCCAAAGAGCUCCCUGGGUCUGGGAGGAAGUCGCUACAAGAGGAUAAACUUCUUGCAUAUAUCUAAGGAGUAGUUACCUCUCAGGAGUUGGCCUACAAGUCUGGACACUAGAUGGGAAAAGAAGAUUAUUGCAACCUAGAACUGCAAGAUCCCAUGUGAAUCUGUAGACACAAAUUGUCUCCAUAGUCACUUGAUGGAAGUAUUCUCACCACCUCCAGGAGGAUGUCAUCACUUCAGCUCUUCACGUUUGACGUUAAUCUUCAAAGCCCACUCACCCUCCUUUAUCUGACCUACAGUGACACCUAUCUUCAAGUCUCAGAUCAGAUCCAGCCUUCAGAGCCCGAUGGCAGAGGACUGAGAAAAUGCCAGCAGAUGUUGAAUGACUUCCUGCCAUGUCCCUGUUGCUAUGCUUUACAUUAACAUUCUCCUUUUUAUUCACCCCAAAACUGGGGGGCUCUGUGGGAAUUAGGAGUGAUGAUUGGAGACUAUGAAUGGUCACCCCCUCGAUACUGGAAGAUCACACUGUGUGAACAGCUUGAAUAGAGCAUUCCCUGUUCCAGAGGAAAGACAAACACACAACUGAGUGAAUACCCCUCUCCUUGAUCAGGGAUGGACAAGAGGUAUGAAAUGAAAUGAAGUCUAUUUUAGCUAGGCGUGUGUGCACCUCUGUAAUCCAAGUAGAGGCAGGAGGAUCAUAAGUUUGAGCUACGUAAUGAAUUUUUUCCACAACCCAACCCUCUCGAAACACAAAACAACCUAAAUAACUACAAAGGAUAACAUCUCCCUUUAAGCCUCAGAGAUGCGGGAUUCAUUUGUUACUGCAACCAAAUCUCACCUAUCCCAACCAAUGCAGCUGCUUUGGUUAACCCCACUUCAUAAAACAAGAUGCAAGAUCUUUGAUUUAAGUUUUAAGGCCCUGGAGUGUCAGAUCUGAAGCUUGUGAUCUUUCUAUCACAAAGAGUCCCAUACCCACGCACCAUGGUCAUCUACCCAUAUAACUUGGGUGUCUGCACAUUUGCCUUGGGCCGUACAGUUGCCCUCUCUGCCCUCAACCCCUAGAUGCUUCUUGUAUUGUGUAUUCAAAUGUUUGCUGGGUUUCUCCAGCACACUGUGGUGGUUUCAAAGAAAAUGGCCUCAUGGGCUCAUAUGUUUGAAUGCUUGGUCCGGUUUGUAGAAAUAUUUAGAAGGUGAGGUAUUGUUGGAAUAGGUGUGACCUUAUUGGAGGAAGUGUGUUAUUGGGUGUCUGCUUUGAGAUUUCAAAAGCCUGUGACAGACCUAAUAUCUCCAUAAAACCUCCUCUCUCUGUCUCUCUCUGUCUCUGUCUCUCUGCCUCUGUCUCUCUCUCUAUCUCUCUAUCUCUCUCUCCUCCCAAGCUUCUGUCUGCAGCUUUAGAAUAACAUGUGAGCUCUCAGCUACUUCUCCAAUACUAUGUCUGCCUGUCUGCUUCCAUGAUUCCUACCAUGAUCAUGGACACACCUUCUGAAAUUAUAAGUAAGCCCCCAAUUAAAUAUCUUCCUUUAUAAGUCACCUUGGCCAUGGUGUUUUCCCAUAGCAAUAGGACAGAAACUAAGACAAACAGCCACGACCAUUUGCCAUGUCUAGGCUAUGAUCUGUUUAGGACCAUAUGCACCAUUCCACUGCCACAUAACUUAGUUAAUUGUAGAUUCCACCAUCUUACUGUGUACCCCAGUUAUUUUCUGAUUCCCCCACCCAACCACAACCCCUGGUGAUAUUCUGAUUUCCCAGGGCCCCGUGUGCUCCCUCCAACAAUUUCUCAGCAUUGAUAUUUACAGAAAAAUAAUAAACAUAAUCCACAUUGGCGCCUGUAUCGACCCUCAGAUUCCACUGACAUUUAGGAAUAAGUGAUGGAUUGCCUUUUGUUCGAGGCUGGCUGAACUGACCCGCCGUGGCCUGUACAUAAUUUACUUUUGAUUAAAGGAGUACUUCAACA